AAUGCGGGACUCUAAGAGGCCCCGUAAUUGGAAUGAGUACACCUUAAAUCGUUUAACGAGUAUCAAUUGGAGGGCAAGUCUGGUGCCAGCAGCCGCGGUAAUUCCAGCUCCAAUAGCGUAUAUUAAAGUUGCUGCAGUUAAAAAGCUCGUAGUUGGAUCUGGGGCUUGAGGUCGCUGUCUAUCGUUUCGGCGAUGACGGUGAUGCUCAGCUCUGCUUGCCGGUGACUGUUGCGGUGUUCUUCACUGAGCGCUGUAGCAGCACGGCACGUUUACUUUGAAAAAAUUAGAGUGCUCAAAGCGUGCUUGUCGCUUGAAUAAUGUUGCAUGGAAUAAUGGAAUAAGACCUCGGUUCUAUUUUGUUGGUUUUCGGAGCUUGAGGUAAUGAUUAAGAGGGACGAACGGGGGCAUUCGUAUUGCGGUGUUAGAGGUGAAAUUCUUGGAUCGCCGCAAGACGGACUACUGCGAAAGCAUUUCCAAGAACGCUUUCAUUAAUUAAGAACGAAAGUCAGAGGUUCGAAGACGAUCAGACACCGUCCUAGUUCUGACCAUAAACGAUGCCGACCAGCGAUCCGUAGUGGUUGCUUUAUGGACCCUACGGGCAGCCUCCGGGAAACCAAAGUAUUUGGGUUCCGGGGGAAGUAUGGUCGCAAAGCUGAAACUUAAAGGAAUUGACGGAAGGGCACACCAGGAGUGGAGCCUGCGGCUUAAUUUGACCCAACACGGGAAAACUCACCCGGUCCGGACACCGUAAGGAUUGACAGACUGAUAGCUCUUUCUUGAUUCGGUGGAUGGUGGUGCAUGGCCGUUCUUAGUUGGUGGAGUGAUUUGUCUGGUUAAUUCCGAUAACGAACGGGACUCUAGCCUGCUAAGUAGUGUUGCUAUUGUUAUAUGGUUGACACUUCUUAGAGGGACAAGUGGCAUUUAGCCACGCAAAAUUGAGCAAUAACAGGUCUGUGAUGCCCUUAGAUGUCCGGGGCCGCACGCGCGCUACACUGGAGAAGUCAGCGUGUGUUAUCCAAGUCCGAAAGGACUGGGUAAUCCGUUGAACCUUCUUCGUGCUUGGGACUGUGGCUUGGAACUAUUCCACAUGAACGAGGAAUUCCUAGUAAUUGCAAGUCAUAAGCUUGCGUUGAUUACGUCCCUGCCCUUUGUACACACCGCCCGUCGCUACUACCGAUUGAAUGGUUUAGCAAGGUCCUCGGAUCGUGGCCGUAGGGGCACGCAAGUGUUUCUGCGGUUUGCGAGAAGACGACCAAACUUGAUCAUUUAGA
rnacentral:rRNA from 1 species